rnacentral:rRNA from 1 species
AUUGAACGCUGGCGGCAGGCCUAACACAUGCAAGUCGAACGAGUGGCGGACGGGUGAGUAAUGUCUGGGAAACUGCCUGAUGGAGGGGUAUAACUACGGGAAAAGGUAGCUAAUACCGCAUAACAUCAUAUGUGCCCUGAUGGGAUUAGCUAGUUGGUGGGGUAACGGCUCACCAAGGCGACGAUCCCUAGCUGGUCUGAGAGGAUGACCGGCCAAAGUGUAACGGAGAAACGGCCCAGACUCCUACGGGAGGCAGCAGUGGGGAAUCUUGCACAAUGGGCGAAAGCCUGAUGCAGCCAUGCCGCGUGUAUGAAGAAGGCCUUCGGGUUGUAAAGUACUUUCGGCGGGGAGGCGUUAUCCGCAGAGUAAGCACCGGCUAACUCCGUGCCAGCAGCCGCGGUAAUUC